rnacentral:misc_RNA from 1 species
AUGGGCCGAAAGAAGAAGAAGGCUUCAAAACCGUGGUGCUGGUAUUGUAACAGAGAAUUCGAUGAUGAAAAAAUUUUGGUGCAGCAUCAGAAGGCGAAACAUUUCAAAUGUCACAUAUGUCACAAGAAAUUGUAUACAGGGCCUGGUUUAUCGAUUCAUUGCAUGCAAGUACACAAAGAAACUGUGGACAAGGUGCCUAAUUCGUUGCCAAAUAGGUCCAACAUUGAAAUCGAAAUUUUCGGAAUGGAUGGAAUACCCGCAGAAGAUGUUCGUGAACAUGAAAGACAAAAGAAUGGCGGUAAAUCUGAUUCCGAUGACGAUGAACCAGCAGCAAAAAAGAAAGUUGAAAUACCGUUAUCGGCGCCACCGCCUAUGAUGAUGCCCCCAAAUAUGAUGCCACCAAUGAUGGGACAGUUUGCGCCAAUGGGCAUGAUGACCAAUAUGCCACCAAUGGCCCCAAUGCCACCAUUUUUAGGCCCAGGCGGUAUACCAAUGAUGCCGCCGCAUAUGUUACCACCGCGACCACUCUUUCCUGCUAUGGCUACCACUUCAGCUGCUGCGGUAAAUCCGGCUAUAGUGCCCCAGAAACCAACAUUUCCUGCAUACAGUAAUGCAACAAUUAGUGCACCACCAACAACCAAUAAUCCCAGUGCCACAGGAAAUUCUGCACCACCUGAAGGAUCUAAACUACCACCUUCAGUACCAACAGGAAACGCAACUGGUAUCACAUCAAAAAUUAUGCAUCCACCUGAAGAUUUAAGUUUAGAGGAGUUACGUGCGCGCAAACCAAAAUAUCAACAGAAAUUAACAAGUAGCAAUAACCAUCAGCAGCGUAUUUCCACAUCUGGAUCUAUGAUGCAAAAUCACAAUGCUGCUGUGAGCAGUUCAUCAUCAAUGACAAUUCCAACAAGUUCGAGUACGUCGAGUGCAGCAGCAGCAGCCCAGGCUGCAGCUUUUUCAAAGGCCCAGGAAACUGCAGCAAUGGUAGCAACGAUACAAGUUCAAGCGGCUCAAGCGCAGGCGCAAGCACACGCCCAUGCACAUGCCCAAGCACAUGCUCAAGCGCAAGCACAGGCACAAGCACAAGCUCAAGUGCAGGCGGCACAAGCGCAUGCACAUGCGCACGCAGCAGCACAUGCACAGGCACAGGCAGCACAAGUACAAGCACAGGUGGCGCAAGCUCAAGCCCACGCUCACGCUCAUGCGCAGGUGGCUCAAGCAGUAGCUGUGCAACAGCAACAGCAGCAGCAGCAACAACAACAACAACAACAACAGCAACAAAAGCAAUUGGAAGAUCUCAAUCGGGCGGUGCUACUGCAGCGUCUACAGGCGGCACGUCCAGGACAUCCGCAAACGGCACUUGGUGUACCACCUGGCUCUGCAGUGGGCAUGAUGCAACUGCCAGGACAAAUGCAAUUGAUGCAGCCUAUGUUACGCCCUGCCAUGACACUCGGACCACAUGGUCCGCUACUGGGUGGUAAUAUGUUGCGCGCACCAGGCGGAUUGCCAGGAAUGCCAGCAGGUCUACUACCAGUACAAGCCAUCCCAAUGGCGGGUAUGACUAUGCCAGGCGUGGGUGUUAUGCUACCAGCUGGUCAUCCAGUUUUGCAAAUGAUGCCGCGUUUCCGGUGAUCAGUUGCCCAAGGUGCAACGCCAUCAAUAUGUAUGGCUGCACCAUUAUUAGAAACGCCUAUGCCGUUAUUAUAUCCACCAGAUGAGUAAACGUUGAGAAAAAAAGCAAUAAUGCAUUUAGCGUCAACUAAAAAAUUAAGAUAUACAUACAUACAUAUAUAUCAAAUUAAACCCCAAGAUAUAUCAAUUUGCUCUGUACAGCAAAACUACAAUACGUAUAAAAGGCGUCGUAUGAGCCAUUAAUAACAUUUGGAAUAAGCAGUUCAGCAAAUCCCCCAAUAGCGUUUGCAUAUGAAUGCAAUUACCCAUUGAGAUGAGAAUUAACCAGCAAAAUUUCAACGUAAAAAGAGCAAUAGUUUGAACGACAACAACAACAACGACAACAAGCAAGUUGAAAUCUUAAUCCAUUCUACUAUAAACUGUUUACUCUUAUUUGCGAACAUUA